rnacentral:misc_RNA from 1 species
GAUGAAGAACGCAGCGAAAUGCGAUAAGUAAUGUGAAUUGCAGAAUUCAGUGAAUCAUCGAAUCUUUGAACGCACAUUGCGCCCGCCAGUAUUCUGGCGGGCAUGCCUGUCCGAGCGUCAUUUCAACCCUCGAACCCCUCCGGGGGGUCGGCGUUGGGGAUCGGCCCUGCCUCUGGCGGUGGCCGUCUCCGAAAUACAGUGGCGGUCUCGCCGCAGCCUCUCCUGCGCAGUAGUUUGCACACUCGCAUCGGGAGCGCGGCGCGUCCACAGCCGUUAAACACCCAACUUCUGAAAUGUUGACCUCGGAUCAGGUAGGAAUACCCGCUGAACUUAAGCAUAUCAAUAAGCGGAGGA